rnacentral:rRNA from 1 species
GAAUAUUGGUCAAUGGACGAAAGUCUGAACCAGCCAUGCCGCGUGGAGGAUGAAGGUCCUCUGGAUUGUAAACUUCUUUUAUCUGGGAAGAAAAAAGGGAAUUCUUUCCCGUCUGACGGUCCCAGAUGAAUAAGCACCGGCUAACUCCGUGCCAGCGGCCGCGGUAAUACGGAGGGUGCAAGCGUUAUCCGGAUUUACUGGGUUUAAAGGGUGCGUAGGCGGAUUGCCAAGUCCGUGGUGAAAUCUCCGGGCUUAACCCGGAAACUGCCAUGGAUACUGGUAAUCUUGAAUAUCGUGGAGGUAAGCGGAAUAUGUCAUGUAGCGGUGAAAUGCUUAGAUAUGACAUAGAACACCAAUUGCGAAGGCAGCUUACUACGCGAUAAUUGACGCUGAUGCACGAAAGCGUGGGGAUCAAACAGG